CAUAGUUCCAGAAGGACUUUAUAUGUAAAGUUUCUUCAUGCUGUUCAUAAUUCCCAGUGUCAGUAGAAUCCUACUAAGAAGAAUGGCAGUACCAAAGCACAGGUGGGGGAGGAGCUUGCUUUCCAGAGUUAACUACACCAUCCUUUGGAAAAUGAAAAAACAUCAUCAUUGGGUGAAAGUAUAGAAUAGGAGAAGGGUUAGUAGGGUUAAGGAGAUACUUACACUGGUAAUACAUUCUAGCAUUAUUCUAAGCUAAUUUUUAAUUUAACAUUGUAUAAUUUUUAAUAAGCCACAUUAAACCAAAAGUUUUGCUACCAGAGGCAGAGCAAGAGAAAGAUAGUUUUGGGCUCAGGUGGAUAAUGAUAUUGAAUGGUUGUGCAACUUCAUUUUAUCACCCACUGGAAGGAACACAUGAGUCUCUGUCUUUGUAGCUGACAGCAUUUAACCAUAAAUAUGAAAAAAUACUUCAGUUUUCUUGAUUUGCUUAAUACUUGUGACAAAAGGAAAGCAAUCAAAUUUACAGCAAGUCCAUUGGGAAUAUUUUAAAUUUUACAUGUACUGUGUACAACAAAAUAAUUAAAUGGUGCUGUUUUCUCGGGCCAAUAUAGAAGGAACACAGUUGGGUCGUCUCUGGCGGAGGUGCUGGCUGGGUUUUUUAAUUUUACUGAAGGCGUUAUAGCAACCAAUGACCACUCAAGGCACUUCAUCCAGGUUAACACUAAUUUGUUGGGACCUUAGAAAGUCCUCAAUGAUUAGGUGUGUGUGCUGUAUCCUAAGACUAUGAAUAUUACCUUGAAUCAGGAGGCUUCCUGGGACUGAAAUUGAAUGGAGUCUCAAAUUAGUUCUUAGUUAAAGUGAGGAGGGUUAUCUCUUUAGAGCUACUCAUCCUAUUGAGAGACAGGACUUCUGGCUGGUAUUUAUUGUGAGGCUGGGCCACCACCUCAGAAAUAACAGAGAAAACUAGGAGAAAACAUAGCAGGAGUUAGGGCUACUCUAAGAUUUAAAGGACCAGCUGCUACAACAGUAUGCUCUUCUAAAGCAGCUCUGUAUCAGGCUUAAGUUUCACCAGCAAAGUGUGUAUCUUAAGAGUAACAACAAAACUCUUCUUCUGUAAUAGUAAAAUGAACUGUGCUUUUCACAUUUGCCUGUUUAUGAAGCCAUCCAUAUGCUACUGUCUGAUUUAGCUAUGCUUAUGAAGCAAUGGCAGUAGUGAUUAACCCACUUGGUAUUGUAUUUGCUUGAACAAUUCUCUCAGUUUGAAACUGCAGUAUUUAAGUGCAAUUAUGUUCAGAAAGGUGACUUUCAGAAUGGUGGCUUCUUAGUGUAUCUGCUUUCUGGGUGUUCAGACCAUAAUUAUUUACUAGAAACAAGUUUUGCUGCUCUGAGUCCUAUAGAACUAAUUAAUCUAUGGGAAGACAAGUAGGAAUCUAUUCUGCUGAAUCCAACAAAACUGUCAGCUGAGUUGUAGAUUUUUGUGGAUUUUUUUCAUUAAGUUGGUGUAAGGUACGGAAAGAAAACAUCUCGAUUUUCAGAUGUCAGACAGAAUUUGCAGCACUGCCAAAUAGAAAUUUCACCUUUGACUUAUAAACUUCAUCAUUUAAAUCUGGAAGAUCAUUUAAAGAGAAUAACUAUGGAAUACUACAGUAUAAUUUUUAGAGUCAUUUUCCUAAGAAUAACCAUGCUUUAAAACAAGGAUCAAACUUUCAGCCUAACCAGAUGGUCCACUGAUUCCCAAGGAGUAUUUACCACAGACUGUUGCUGUAGCUACAUGAUUAGUGAAAACAGACAUGCGGGCUAUGGAAUUAAAAAUACACUUUAUCAGUCAAAAAAGACUGCAGUAUUGUAACAUUUGGGGGCAUUGUCCAAGUUUGAUAUCUGAGAGUUUGUCCCACAUUUCCUGUUUUGUUAUAUUUAACAAGUUAAGAACUGUAGCAAGAUGCUAGUGUCAGUUUAACCACAAGAGUGAGAUCCUAGCCAACAAGCACAGAGAAUCAGGAAUAUUGUGUUGCAAUUUAAAACUUGUAGUGUCUUAUGAUGAUGUAUGUUUACCAUGAGUUCUAUUUACAGCUAUUACUGAAAUAAUGAGUUGUAUUUGUAACUCUCAGACACC